rnacentral:misc_RNA from 1 species
GAUGAAGAACGCAGCGAAAUGCGAUAAGUAAUGUGAAUUGCAGAAUUCAGUGAAUCAUCGAAUCUUUGAACGCACAUUGCGCCCGCCAGUAUUCUGGCGGGCAUGCCUGUUCGAGCGUCAUUACAACCCUCAGGCCCCCGGGCCUGGCGUUGGGGAUCGGCGGAGCCCCCCGUGGGCACACGCCGUCCCCCAAAUGCAGUGGUGGUCCCGCCGCAGCUUCCAUCGCGUAGUAGCUAACACCUCGCGACUGGAGAGCGGCGCGGCCACGCCGUAAAACACCCAACUCUUCUGAAGUUGACCUCGAAUCAGGUAGGAAUACCCGCUGAACUUAAGCAUAUCAAUAAGCGGAGGA